GGGGCUUGACGUGUACCGGAUCGAUAUAGAGAUAUAUUUUCCCUUCGGGGCUGGUACAUCAGGUGCUGCACGGCUGUCGUCAGCUCGUGUCGUGAGAUGUUGGGUUAAGUCCUCUAACGAGCGCAACCCCUAUUCACAGUUGCCAUCAGGUAAUGCUGGGCACUCUGCGGAGACUGCCGGUGACAAGCCGGAGGAAGGUGGGGACGACGUCAAGUCAUCGUGGCCCUUAUGUCCCGGGCUGCAAACGUGCUACAAUGGCUGGUACAAAGGGAAGCAAUACCGCGAGGUUGAGCAAAUCCUAAAAACCGGUCUCAGUUCGGAUUGUAGUCUGCAACUCGACUACAUGAAG
rnacentral:rRNA from 1 species